CUUAUGUUCCAAAACCACCAAUUGUUAAACCUCCAAUAGUACAUCCACCUUACGUACCAAAACCCCCAGUUGUGAAACCACCACCAUAUGUCCCUAAACCACCUGUUGUGAGACCACCCUAUGUUCCUAAACCACCAGUUGUACCUGUAACACCACCUUAUGUUCCUAAGCCACCAAUUGUUUUCCCACCACAUGUUCCUCUACCUCCAGUUGUACCAUCACCACCACCUUAUGUACCAACACCUCCAAUUGUGAAACCACCAAUUGUUUUUCCACCACAUGUUCCUCUACCUCCAGUUGUGCCUGUAACACCACCUUAUGUGCAACCACCACCUAUUGUAACUCCACCAACACCAACACCUCCAAUUGUGACACCACCAACACCACCUAGUGAAACACCUUGUCCUCCACCACCACUUGUACCUUAUCCACCACCACCAGCACAACAAACAUGUUCCAUUGAUGCUUUGAAGUUGGGUGCAUGUGUUGAUGUGCUUGGUGGACUCAUACAUAUUGGUAUAGGUGGAAGUG
rnacentral:lncRNA from 1 species